CACAGCAGGAAACCUCUUCACCAACUGUCCACCGCCCACACCAGCAGACAUCCCUCCAACUGUGCACCCCCUGACCAGCAGACAUCCCUCCCAACUGUGUACCCCCUAACCAGCAGACAUGCCUCCCAACUGUGUACCCCCUAACCAGCAGACAUCCCAACUGUCUACUCACUGACCAGCAGACAUCCCCCCAACUGUGCACCCGCUGACCAGCAGACAUCCCUCCCAACUGUGCACCCCCUGACCAGCAGACAUCCCCCCAACUGUGCACCCCUGCAGAGAAAGCAGAGGAGGCCCCACCUCCUGCCAACUAGAGGUAGGAGAUCAAGAAAGCCUCGAAUCUGUAAUGAAGACGCAGCCUGUGCCAGGGUCAGGUGUUCGGGUCUGAGAGCUGAAGAUGGCGCAGAAUGCAGCCUUCACACUGGGCCUGGGCAGCACCUAGUAGGCAGACCAGGGUCAGUUCACGUUCAAACCACACUCCACAAACGUUGGCCAGGACAUGCCCUGUGAAUACAAGCACACUAACAGUGAAAAUUGAAGACUUAAAUGGGAACCAGAGUCUCAUAGCCUAACACUCAAAACAUCAGGACACAAAAUCCACAGUGACCAGGAUGGGUCCACAGUGACCAGGCCACAUCCAUGGUGACCCAGUAUGCCAAGAGCAAGGAGGAUCUGAACCAGAGGAGUAAAAACAAUCCACAGAUAAAAACGACCGCAUGUCACAGACGGAAUUAUUUCUCCAGGACGAUAAAGCUGUUAUCAUUACCAGCUAGAACCAGCAAUCCUGAACACUCCUGAAACAAAGACAAAGAGAGAACGUCCUAGCAAAGAAACAGGAGGCACACAGAAGAACCAAAACACGAUGACAGAACAUUUUUUUAAAACUCUCUGAUAGGCCUCAAAGCAGAAUCGAGAUGACAAAAAGCCAAAGAUCCUGAAGAUAGAUCAAAAGAAACAAUUCCAUCUUAACAUCAGAGAGAGAAAAAAAAGGUUUAAAAAAUGAGCAGUGCCCCAGAGACCUUGGGGACAAUAACGCGAGGUCUAACACUUGUGCCACUUUAUUUCCAGAAGAGGUGGAGGGGCACACGAGUGGAAGAAUCGUU
rnacentral:lncRNA from 1 species